rnacentral:rRNA from 1 species
AGAGUUUGAUUCUGGCUCAGGAUGAACGCUAGCGGCAGGCUUAACACAUGCAAGUCGAGGGGCAGCGGGAUGUAGCAAUACAUUGCCGGCGACCGGCGGAUGGGUGCGUAACGCGUAUGCAACCUACCUUAUACAGGGGAAUAACCUUUCGAAAGGGAGACUAACACCCCAUAGUAUUGAUUUAAGGCAUCUUAGAUUAAUUAAAUAUUUAUAGGUAUAAGGAUGGGCAUGCGUAUGAUUAGCUAGUUGGUAAGGUAACGGCUUACCAAGGCGACGAUCAUUAGGGGUUCUGAGAGGAAGGUCCCCCACACUGGUACUGAGACACGGACCAGACUCCUACGGGAGGCAGCAGUGAGGAAUAUUGGUCAAUGGGCGCAAGCCUGAACCAGCCAUGCCGCGUGCAAGGAAGACGGCCUUAUGGGUUGUAAACUGCUUUUACAUAAGACUAACCGUAUAUUUGCGAAUAUACCUGAAUGUAUUAUGAGAAUAAGGAUCGGCUAACUCCGUGCCAGCCGCCGC